CACCUUCUUACACAUAAGUCAUAAAAUACCAACUGAUGUAGAUAGCUUCCCAAUUUUUAAGAUUUUUUGUGAUCACCACUCUAGUAGCUGACCACGUAAAAAACCACACCUUCCCCAACGCCUUUGGUAUCUAAACUGUGUUACAACAAAAUGCAUGCUCUUCCCUCACAAGAAGUUUCUCAUAAAAAAACUUACUAGAGAACACAAUAUUAUUUCCCAUACCCU
rnacentral:lncRNA from 1 species